rnacentral:tRNA from 1 species
CAAAAUGUAGCUUAAACCAAAGCAUUCUGCUUACACCUGAAAUAUGUUUACUAUAUAAACCGUUUUGA